CACGCCCUAAACGAUGUCGACUGGAUGUUGGGUGCAAUUUGGCACUCAGUAUCGAAGCUAACGCGUUAAGUCGACCGCCUGGGGAGUACGCGCGCAAGCGUGAAACUCAAAGGAAUUGAC
rnacentral:rRNA from 1 species